ensembl:miRNA
UUGGAUGACCAAUCAUCUUGGUUUGCCUGGGACUGAGGGGUUUCCCUGGAUGUGGGAUGUGUUGAAGCCAGGCAUG